CGAACUCUGUCGUGUAGAACGAAGUACGAAUUUUGGUGUUGCACAGCCCACAUUUACAUCUCAUUUUUCUCUUGUAGUAGUUUGCUGGAAGGUAUCUCAUGAAUUGGUAAACUUCGUCUUUAUAGUUACAUAAAUUAAAUUUAUUCAUAAUUAAGAACAAAAUUAUGCACAUAUAUUACAAUGUCAGAAAAUUUUCUUGUUAAAUUAAAUUUUAAAAUACAGAGCCUAGUACAGAGCGCAGUACCUAUCUUUACAUUUUAUUUUUACAACAAACCCUCGUCUAAACAGCUCAUAAGUACUUGCUUGAUGUGUUGGUAAAACAUAUUCACAUUUCAAUAGUUCCUUUGUACCGUGACACCGCCCUCCACUGAAACCGUAUUGAUGCCUACUACCUAGAACCGAUUCGUUAAUCGACAGGGGAUUUUAUAGACCCCAUUUGCCACGUAGAGGUUUACGAAAAACCUUCCUCAACAAUAUUUCCUGAGCGCUAUGAUAUACUAUGACUCAUUGUCUCACACGCGUGAGAUAAAAAGGGAAGGAUAACAAAAUGAUACAUGAAGUCGGAGUCGUAUACCAUUUUCGUCGUUUGAUUGUCGGCAAGCUAUUAUGGGUGAAAAGAUCCUAUAGCUUAUUUAUUUAUUUAAAAAAAGUACUGCCACAUCACAAACAUUUAACAUUGAAAAUAACAAACCAUUUAAUUUAUGGCCUGAUGCAUGUGACAAUAACGGCGUACAUAACAUUGGCAAUUCAUCGGCUUAAGAUCAAAUCUAACUGACAUUAAGUUCAGGUAUCGUACUUUUUAGAGCCAUUAAAAUAUAAAAGUAUAAUAAUACGUGAAGCAAAAACUUUGUACCCCUUUUUAAAAAAUUGCGCAGACGGAGAAGUAUGAAAUUUUCCACACUUGUAGAGAAUAUAAACAAAAAUUGCAGAAUGCUAAUAUUUUUUUAAAAUAUAUGGAUUAAAACCACCGGAGUAGGAAACCUAUGGAAAUAAAAUGUCAACAAAAAAUUCGUGCCACUGUGACGUCACCUGACCACAAAACAUGGCGGUUUUAGUGUUGUACAAAAGAUUUCAAUGUUAUCAGGUUUUAUCGAUAAACGUUCUUGGCUCAUUUUAUUUUUAAUAUUGUUGAGCUUCGAUCAAUAAUACUACUAGAUUCGCGAUUAGCGCUUCAAAAACGGCCCGAAAAAUUUAAUAAGACCACAAAUAAUUUUGUGGUCUUAUUUCAAAUUAGUAUGGUCCAAUCAUAGCCAACACUAAGACGUCAAAACGCUGCAAUGCGCGUUCAAAAACUGAGUAAAAAACCACCGUAACACCAAGGUUUUGGAAGGAAUAUCUUUUUUUGAUUUCCUAGUAGCCCCUUGUCGCUGUGCACAAUGGAUAUAUAUUGUCGCGAAAGAAAGAGGAGAAGAAAUAUAGAACUCUUAUAAAAAUUCUAGAAUUGUUCAAUGGUGGUGGCAAAUCAAUGCAAAAAAGUAUUAAAAAAACUUUAUAUGUAUGUGUAAAUAUUUUAAGCGUAUAUGCUGAAAAGGAUUUGUUUUCUGGGGGAAACGAACACAGCCAUAAAAUAAGCCUAAAUUAAACUGAUUAUAGAAAAAUUAAUUGAUAUAAGAUUACAUUAUAUUUGUAAAAAAGAAACCGCUCAUAUAAAAAUGACUUCUAAAAGACAGCUUUAUAACAAACUGAAUCUGUUUAAAGGUAAUGAAACAUACAUUAUUGUUUUAAUUACUUCUGUUUAAAGAAUACGUGGAAAACAUGUUUCGUGUUUCCUUUCAUAUUUUUUUUUACUUUAUUCAAUUUUAUUUUUUAUCACCUAUUUGUUGUAAUAGCGGCAAUGUAAAAUAUUAUCUACUACUUUUUUGAAUCGGUCAAAAAUAGUUGCGACCAUACAAAACAAACCUAAAACAAAUAUGUAUAUUCUGCAACUCUAUGUCUUUCAAUACUUACUGUGUUCUGAGCAUUGAAAUGUAAUACCAAGGACUACAUCUAGUUCCACAAUACAAUAAGCACGAAAUUUUAAACAAAUAUUUUUAACCUUAUAAAUUAGGCUUUAAGUAUCAUUUUAGAAUAAAUAUUUUUGUACUGAUGUCUUUUUAUGUUCAAGUGACAUUUUAAAUUUAUUCCAUAAUAUUCUUUUUCUGACGAAAGGACCUAAAUACAUAUAUUUUGCAAUGGUAAUUAAACUUUAUGUUUAAGUAUUAAGGUUUAUAAUAAACUGAAGUCGUUAACAUUAUUAAA